rnacentral:lncRNA from 1 species
AUACUCAAACCCCAACCCCUGCCCGCCCCAGCCAGGAGGGGAGACGGUUGGGAGUGGGAGGCCUCGGCGCUGUUCUCUGGAUGCAACUGAGAUUGCCGCUAGAGGGUGACGCCUGGGUCGGAAUCCAAGGAUUUGUGAAGAGGUGACCCAAAUUUCAAGACAAUGUUGGAUGCAAACGGAUUUGCCAGCAACUGCAUCACUGUCAAAACCAGCUCUGCCCGUGUCUUCCGAAGAUACCAAGUGAAAUACAUGUAGAUGGGAUUUACAUCUGAAAAACCAAGUGAGAAACUGAAGACCAGAGAGGGUGAGUGGUUUACUCAGUUUGGCACAACUGACCCCAACCUAGCCCUCCAUGAGGACUGAGCGCAUGAGAGAUCCUGAGCCACAGCCGCCCAGCCCUGCUCCUCUCGAAUUUCUGACCUACAGGAACUGCAAGAAGUAAUGAAAGACUGCUGUUUAAAGCCACUGCAUUUUGGCAUGAUUUGUUAUGCAGUCGUAGAUAACCAGAAAACAUCGGAUUUACAUUUUAAGGAUUACUUCAUGCACAUAAAAGAAAACGCAACUACAGUGGACCCUGAACAACGUAGCUAUGGCCUGCAGCCACUGAAG